rnacentral:lncRNA from 1 species
UUUUUUUUUUUUUUUGUGGUUUUUAGUUUAUAUUUUGUUUUCCGGACAUAGUAGAAAUCAAGAAAAGAACGAGUGCGUGGUGCCGAGGUCGGGGCGUCGCGUACGAAACGAAUCUUUGAUGAUGAAUAUUUAAGGAAAUGUGCGUGAGAGAGAAGGCUGAAGGGGCCUGGGCAAGGAGAGUGGUUGUGGGGAAGAGAGUUUGAAUAUUCGAGGUGUGAUUCUUGAAAAUGGGCUGGCACUGACGUAACACAUUGAUAUGUAGAUAAGAUCAAAGAUAGACCCAUCCUCAAUCCGUCUGUUUCUUGACAUGGCUAGAUAGAGGGGGCCAAGGACAAAAUACUUUUGUUUUCUUUUUGGUUCAGCCCCAUAAGUUUUGUGACGUUGGGUUAUGGACAUGCCUUCCGACGACUUCUAUAAGUUCAUACCCAAUAGCUUAUCUCCAUGCAAAGAAUUCAUUGUUGUUCAAACAUUUCAUCAGGUGAGACUGAUGAGAUUGGCAGUUUGGAGGCUGAUGAUCAAGAUGAUGAUUCUUUAACUCUUCUUUCUCUUGCUCCUCCAGGCCAAAACAACACCUCAAAGAAUCUUCUGGACUGUAGUUUUGAGUACUCCUCAAGCCAACUACCUCAGGAUAACUAUCAACAAUGCCCUAGGACUAAUGCUGAAAAUGGUGUAACAGUGGCACUUCAUAUUGGUCUGCCUACUUCAGAAGCUAGCUCUACUAGUCAUGCUCAUAACUUUGGGGUUCUUCCUGAAGGACAAUACUGGAUUCCUACUCCAGCUCAAAUUCUUGUUGGCCCCACUCAGUUUUCUUGUCCUGUAUGCAACAAAACAUUUAACAGAUACAACAAUAUGCAGGUUAUGGAACUUCUAUGUAAUUCAUUUUCAGUUAUAAUCAGAUCCUAUCAAUGUUCUUCUUUCCCCUUAACUCCUUGCAUGCAAAAAUAAACAAAACCUUCAGUAAACAAUAGUGUUGCAACUUGCAACUAGUUGGUUGCUACACUAGUAUGUAGACUUGUUUAGAGAUUUUUGUGGCUGAUGAUUAUUAUUUUAUGUGGGCUUAGAUCAAUCUCUUGCAUAACUUUUCUAUCCUCAUGAUCCUUCUGUAGAUGCAUAUGUGGGGGCAUGGAUCACAAUACAGAAAAGGGCCAGAAUCUUUAAGAGGGACAAAGCCAGCCUCAUCCAUGCUUAAACUUCCCUGUUACUGUUGUGCUGAGGGUUGCAAGAACAACAUAGAUCAUCCAAGAUCAAGGCCCUUGAAGGAUUUUAGGACUCUUCAAACACACUACAAGAGAAAGCAUGGGACAAAGCCAUUUCAGUGCAGAAAAUGUGGGAAGCCAUUUGCGGUUAGAGGAGACUGGAGGACUCAUGAAAAGAAUUGUGGGAAGUUAUGGUUUUGUAUUUGUGGUUCUGAUUUUAAGCAUAAAAGAUCACUCAAAGACCAUAUUAGAGCUUUUGGAGAUGGCCAUGCAGCACAUAGUCAAGACUUGCGUGGAAUUGAAGAAUUAGUAGAAUUAGAAGAAGAUGAUGAAGAAGAAGAGGACAACUACUAAGUAGGGCUAGAUAGACUUUGUACCCUCGAAAAGUAUUGGGGGUUUUGUUAGUUUGUACCCUAAACAUUAGUAUUCUACUAACUUAUGUUUGUUGUCAAUUGACCAGUUUUCGUACAUGAUUUGCACGUUUGUAGUAGGUAAUAAUAAAUUGCACAUUGGCUCUUGUCAAUUUUGACCAAUUUAUGAUAGGAUUUUUUCCUAGUUUUUCAAAACAAAUUGUACACUCAGUAAUAGAUUAGUGUUAAAGGAUUAAAAAACCUACCUUAACGUACAUAAUACACUAGCGUUGUUGAUUUGAGUAUUCAAUGGUCACAAAGAGAAGUUUAGGAGGGUGCAAACUGUGCAAAACUCGAUCUAAUACUGAAAAGGGACAAAGUGGUAUUGAUCAAAAAGAUCAAGAAGUGAUUAAUGUGUGAAGAAUAGAAUAGAAAUGUCGGAUAUGAUUCUGCCAAUGUACAUCCAUUUAUUACAUGUGAACCUUUAGUUGUAGUAGUGGUGGUAGGCUGCUGAAGUCUGAAUAGUGACUAUUUGGCUCUAUGCUUCUGAAUGUGUCUGCGGAUCUAUCAUCUAUGUGUUUGAGGGACUUGAGAGAAGAGAAAGAGAGAAAUAAAAGGGAGAGAAAAAGAUGAGGACAAACAGUAUAAUGAAAGGCACAGUUGCAUGGCAUUAAUGUUCGAAGUGCCAGUUCGAUUAUCUGAUUAAAGUUUGGUUCUUUUCUUUUUUUCCCCACUUUAUUUUUUUGGGCCUUCAGAGUCUGACAGGAGAGUAGAGACUGAGUCUGAGUUUUUUCUGAGGCUUUUGGUCUGAGGGCCUGAGGAGGGCUGAGCUUGGACUAGCACUACUAACACUUUGAUAGAGGCUUUUGUCAGAAGGUAACAAUGGACCACUGGAAGUUUUUCUUUUUGGGGUUUCACCCAAAGUAUUAACUUUCUACCUUUUGGGACGAAACAAACAGAUAUUUCGUAAUAUGUUGCCAGAGCCCUGUUUUUGCCUUCUUUAAGUUUAAUAAUGUGGUUGCAUGGGCUCAUAUGCACUCUGAUACUAUAUGGCUGCUCUCUCAGAUGUAUAUGUCAAGGAUGAGGUCCAUAUCCUGCACUGCAUGCCUUACUUUUCAACAGUUUCACCGUCUUAUCAGUAUUAUCGCUCUACUUUUUUGAUACAUUCAACUUUCUGUUUCCUGUUCUUUCAUUUUUACCCAUUUUUGAGCUGUAAUUGGUAUUCGUUUUUCUCCCUGGUUUGAGACUUAGGCCGCAUAAAACUGGUCCAUUAUCAUUGUUAAAGUUCACUAAUUUUUACUAGUUUCCUUGGCUUGUUAGAACAGCCGUGACAAUUUGCCGUACUUCUGAUUUUAUUUGUUCUUCUUGUUUUUGUGUGCAAGUGUGUCAACUUCAACACACAGACAAAUUCUGGAGUGAGGUUUUCUUAUUGGACAAUAAAUUCAGACUUACUUUUUUCUGAUCAAGAUUUGAUCAGAAUUCUCAGAUGAUGGUUCUAAUCAAAUUAUUUGGUUUGCUGCAGGGAUGCAUGUACUACAGUAUAGUACACAAAAAGUCUGCAUUAUAUGGCCCUUUGGGCUGUCAAGACGCGAACAUUUUAUUGUAAUGAAUAGGAGAAAUGUUUUUGAUCGGAGAAAGAAAAGAAAAAAAGAAAUUACUCUUGUAGGAAACUUUAGCACUGUAGCCUAACAUGUCCAAGAAUUCCUUCUUCUGUUUCAUUCUUUUUUAUACGGUUAGAUUGAAUAGUUGUCAAGCAAAAAGAAUAGUUGUUGGAAUCCCAUCUAAGGAAAAGGGAUGCCUGUAAUCACCUUUAAACAGAAAAAUAUCUGGCGUUUCUCCAACAUUUUAUGAAGCUUAACCAAAGAAGCAACGUGGUGGCCGGGCUUCCUUGUCCCAAGUUUGACCAGUUAAAAAAAAAAAUAAAAGGAGAUCUAGAUUAUUUGCUGCAAUUUAAGUCUGAAUUGAUCCCAAGUUGUAUGUAGAAGUGGUCAGGGGUUCUGGGUUUUUAUUUUGAUUAUCGUUUUCUAGCAAUACUCUUGUUCCUUUUAACAAGCCCUUCUGGCAUGAUGGAAAAGAAUAGUUCCAAUGCAAAUUUCUCUCUAUUUUUUCAUGCAUGCAUGUGCGGAUUGCAAGGACAACUCCACCAAGACACCCUCACUUAGAAACAUUUCAUCGAAUGAUAGAAUCUACGAACAUGGCCUCUCUAUCUCUUUUUCUUCGUUUUCAUUUGAACAUUUCAUCGAAUGAUAGAAUCUACGAACAUGGCCUCUCUAUCUCUUUUUCUUCGUUUUCAUUUGAGUUAGGCACUCAACUCACAGCUAUACAUACACAUUUUAUUCCCAGUUUUGUCCUAUUACUUCAUGGACUUUCUUCUUUCUUUUGUUUUCCCCACUUUUUUUUGGUAAGUCAACAAAUUUCUGUUUUGCUGUUCUUCUAGAUGAUAAGGGAGAGAAAAAUAUGACAGUAAUUUCUUCAAAAUCCAAUUCUGACAAUAAAGAUGGGAGACAUAUGGUCAAUGAUGCUGGUAGGAGAGAAAAAAACCAUUCUAAGUAGUACAAACGAUAAACCAGUACAAGCAUUUAUUGGACAGCUCUUGCUGCCAAACUAAUUAAUGCUUGAAUAAUUGUGGCUAGUUCCUUGGAUCAACCUCCCUAUCAAUCAGUGAAGUUAGGGAUGGUUGCCUGAGGCUCAGUAGCCUUAGCAGCAGCUGAUGGUUCAGCAGUAGCUGUUGGCAACACUGGCUUAACCACCAACUCAGCUGGCAAAUCCUUAAUUCCCUUUAAAUAAAAUGUAUAGAACAGCUUAAAUGGGAACACAAUCUGCUGCAGCUUCACCACACCCUGCACCCCCUCGAAUACUCCUGAUCCAGCGGUCACAGCCAGAUGUGUGUCCUCGUAAGUCAAAUAUGGCCCCUGGACUGAUAUGUGACCGUAGUCACCAAAAUAGAAGCUGUAGAUAGCCUCAUAACGAUCACCUUUCUUCUCAGGAACAUGUUUUAUCAGCACACAUAAUCCUGAUGUUAUGCCUAAUCUCUUCUGCAAAUCACCUGUGUAGAGCUUAUUGCUGAAUGGAACUAGAUCACCUAGAGAAUUUGCGUCCUUUUUGCUAAGUCUCAAGUAUGCUGGGCUGCCCCUGUCCCUUUCAUUAAUCUCAUACACAUAUAGUUCUUGAACUUUAGCUGAAUCACAAAGACAUGAUUUUGUGAUGAGCAAUAAUACAUCGUGAAUCAUGAAAUCCAACUAAUUUUAGCUAGUAGUUUCACUGACUACCUCAAAAUUACCGAUAUAACUAUGCCUAGCAAAUCUUUUAUUUCCAAGAACUCGUAUUCAUUUUUGCUUGGAGAAAGUAGAAUGCAUCUGACGGACCAUUUUCCUAUGGUUUCACGACAAAAUACUAACUAACUCAUCGAAUCGAAAAAAGAUUUAUUGGUACAGGAAGUACUCACUUGGUUCUGGCUUUGGUUUGCCGAUGUUGAAGAAGAAUGCUUUUGUUGAGGCAUCUUUGGAGGGUCUUCUGGCGGAGAAGGCUUGGUGGGUCGUCGAGAUCUGGACAGAUUUAGUUAAAAGUGGAUUUGAAAGCUUAAACGCAAGCUUGUCAUAAUGGAAUUCGAUGUUGGAAAGUGAUUCAAGAUUGAAUAGUUUAAGGGAAGAAACUGGUCUGAGAGAGCUUGUACUUGCCAUUGAUGAAGUGGAUGCUAAUGGUUAGGGUUGAUCUAUGCAAAGUAUAGGUUCAAGAAACAUCCAUCCAGGGGACAAUGUGCCUUGAUUUAGAAAGGUAUAUAGCUGGAAGAUUCUGCACCGAUAAAUUAUGCACCAAUAUUAAACGCACGCCUUGUAAUUCUGAUUGGUUUAAGGGUACCUAUUGAUGAUGACAAUAUAGCUUAAUAGUUUUUUUUUUCUUUUAAUGUGGAAACACAGGCUGGACUCGUAAAAGUAGUCAAAAGCUGUAGCUGUAGGUGUGGAAAUAAUUAGAAAAUUGGAAGAACAUGGAGGAGGGAAAAGUAUGAAUGUAGCAGCAAAAGACAUAUCAAUCAGAACCUUCACAACAAAAGACAUAUUUGUUAGGUAUCGAUGCUAAAAUCUUGAGCACUGUGCAGAAGCAACAUCAAUGUUUGUUAGGAUCAUCAGAUUAAAAUGUAUAUUAAAGAGCUACAAUUAUUCAAAUGAUUAAAUAGUACAAGAAAAGUUUUCUGUACAUAUAAAUCAUGUACUGUUCGUUGCCAUGUAUAACAGCCUUAAGAAUUUCUCACAAAUUGCAAACAUUUAUAUCCCAAUUUCACCAGCUCCGGCAAUGGCCAUUGACAUGCCGGUAACAAUGCUGUACCUUUACUUUGACCAGGCAACAUAUCUGGUGAACGAUGUCCCGAUAAUUGCUUAGCUGCCAGCAGAGUUCUAUAAAUGGUGUUGAUGUGAUCAAAACUGGGAUCAUCACUCAAGGCCUAAUGCUUUUGCCAUCUCAGGGUUGUAUAUGAGAUCCAUGGAUCUCAAGUUAAUGGAGGAGCAGGAGUUUAUUUCCUCCAUUACAUGUAGAAGAAAUGAAGUGUGCAAAAUGAAUCAUGAGUGAUUCAUCUAAGCUUUUGUUAAGAUUUCUGCGCCAGUUUUUGUAAUCAAAAUUGUGUGCUCGAAUUGCGCAGCAGGGCUGCCAUCAGCUGUCAGGGUUGUCCAGUUAUCCUCCCAUGUGAUACACUCCGUGCUUCCCAAUGUAAGAAUUGGUUCUGCAGUAAAUUUACAAAACAUAACAGGUAAGGAUUCAAUUCAAUAAGCAAAUUUCACUUUACUGCAAAACACAAUCUAAAGUGAAAAUAUAUCAAGAUAGUGCCGGACUUGCCUGAAUAAGCCAAGAUGACAAAGUAAUAGAAAUUAUGGCAAAAAUGUACCAAAAACCUUUCAGCAAGUCCAAAAGGAAGUGAGGAUUUCAUUCAAAAAUAACCUCGUUUAGCAUUGCAUAUGAUCUUUCAAAUUUCCUAGCGAAGUACCAUCAUGGUAUCACCUGAUGUACACUAUCAUUCCUUAUGAAUCCAUAACGGUCUCCCUCUGAUUUCAGGACUUUUUACAUGCAUUUGCGAUGCCAUGAACAAGUUAAUUUUAUUAUUGUUGUUGUUGUUGUUGUUGUAGUUGUUGUUAAUCAAGCAACAGCAAGUUUGUUCAAUAGGGGGAAAAGGUUCAAUAUACUGGUCAAAGCACAUCCAACUGAAUACCAGUACUUGAAGGUACAUAUUGCUUUCUAACAAGGCAAUCAUGCACCAGCUCUCCCAAGUAUUUCUUAAAUUAAAACUAUGUUUGUGAUGUAUCGACAGACAAAUAAUAGAAACUGGCCAUUUAAAAGCAUUAUCUACAUUAAAGAGGAAUAUGCUCACCAAUUGUGAAUGUUUGCCCCUCAACCAUGAAGCCUGGCUUAUCAUUGCCUGCAAACAACCAAAACAAAAUAAAAGUUGGCAUAACUUUGAAAGUACAAGUAGAAUCCAAAGGAAAAGACAAAUCCAAGUUCAGUAAACUUGAAUUAUAUGUUAUACCAUCUCCAAGCAUAAAAACUAGAAUAACAGAAUAACAGAAACAAGUUUCCAUUCAAAGCAAGGACACAGCAUAGGAAAAAGACAUACUUCAGAGGCAAGACAUUCAGAAUAAUGAAAAUACAUAGCCUAUUAGAAGUUAUAAAGUAGAUCUAAGGUUUUAAGAUUAUUUUUUAUUUUUAGGUCAUAAUGUGCGGAAAGAAAAGUCAAGGUGUUAUUCUAACUUCUAAAGAUAAUUACUCUUAGAAGAAUAUAAAGCCAACCAUCUUGGCUUGACUCUCAGUCUCCCUACAAAUUGACACAACUUAGAUUCUCCAAAAUCAAUGGUAUGGAUACAUACUCCAUUAUUAUGUCAAUCAAAGAGUUAAAAAAGAAGAAGGAAAUGAUAGGACUUACUUUCUAUAUUUGAAAUAUGCAAAGGCAGAAAUAGCUCUCAGUUUAGAGUUACCAUUUAAGCAACCUAGACAUUUUCCAAAGAAAGAUUAAACAAGACAUUUAGUUUGGACAAAAGAGAUUACUUGAAAAGUUUAGAUCACAUGCAAAUGGAAAGUGCAACCGUAGAUUAAGACGUACUAUGUUAAGCCAAUCUGCAUUAAUUGGCUUUAAAUAUAGUUCUAGACCACCUAAGGAGGUAUAGCCACGGUGCUACCUGAAGAAAGGUGCCACCUCAUCGAUGUUAGAGGAUCUUGAAUUCACCAUAUCAUAUGAUUAUCAUGUUAACAGAACAGCAUGUAAUUCACUGAAAUGACAGCGUAGCAAGACCAUUGCUAGUCAUUGGUGAAGGCUGAAGCUAGUGCAGUUUUCCUUAGCGACUGUGACAAUUAUACUGAAAGGAUUAACAUGAGGGACUACUCACGGUGGUGAAAUAUAAGUGGUUCAGAAUGAAAUACAUUCCCAACACCAUGUCCAACAAAACGGUCCACCACGCCGUAACCAAAUUUCUCAGCAUGCUCACUGCAACGACAAUUAACAGAGUCCUUAGAGAAGGCAAAAUAUACUUUAAAUUAAAACAACAUCUUUGUUUUGAGAAAGAUUUGCUCAUAUUUGAACACCUUCUAGUUUAACUCAUAGUAAAAGUACAAAAGGUGAUAGAUGAUGGCACAGUAUGAAAGCCUCUAUAAGAACUAACAAUCAAGCUUGACAAGGUCCCCAACAUAAAGCUUGCAAUAUGAGGAUCUUCACCAUAUUUAAGUAUAUUGUGUUCCUUUUCACCCCCUCAGUAUCAAAUAAAAUAAUUUCUGAACAUAACACCACAAGAUUGUCCGAGCAAAAACAAAUCUUUCAGCUAUGAACAUACAAGAAGCGGGCAAAAUUGGAUAACAACAAAGGUUUGAUUCAACCAAUCUCACAAAAACUUCAGUGUUGUGUUUACUGCCAAACAAUUCCAAAUAAUGUCCGAUGUUGUAGGAAGUAUGUUAUUGGAUCCAAAAUAUCCAAUUGUGGCUCUCAUUUUCUAGACAGAAAUACAGACAAAUGUCAACAGGUGCACAUGCAAAUGUACUUCAAUGUUUAUACGUUUUCAGAUAUUAAUCAUACCUGAUUCGCUUCCCGAUUUUCCUAUACAGAGCACCAUCCUUGCAAACAGCAAUGCCUUUAUGCAAGCACUCCUCAGUCACCUGACACAAGGAGAAAUUAGGUUGCAAAAAGAGGGAAAUAAUAAUAAUAAAAACUAUCUGUGGGACUGAUCAAGAGGUUGUACUACAAAGUUCUAAGGAGAAGUGAUGAUGCAGCAGUUUUGUGAGCUUUAGGUAACAGAAGACAUGAUUCUCAUCCUUGACAUUGCAACGUUCAGGAAAUGCAAUUUUUCUUUUCUUUUCUAGUAAAUGCAAAAUCAUACCUUCACAAGCCGUUUCAUUGCAUCACUAACAUUGCCACAAAAGAAAGUUUUUGAAGUGUCCCCAUGAUAACCCUGAGAUGAGGCCAAAUAAGUUUUCCUAAGGUCCCAAGACAACUUUAAACAAAUAAUUACAAAAAUGAAGAGGAAAGAAAAAAAAUAUAUAGUGUGGAGGAACCAAAAAGAGGAAAAAUUAAGGAAAACUGAGAACAAAUCAUAGAAACAAAACAGAUUUCAAAAGGUCCCCUUAGCAACUCCUAACUAGGUGUUCUAAGCAAAGAAACUAUUAUGUCUUCUAUUAAUAUUUUGAUUUAAUUGUAUAAGCAGAUUUAUCACGUAAAGAUAACGAUUCCAAAAUUUUACAAAAAAUUGAGAUGACAGUACGAAACUUGCACUAUUUUGAUAUUGUGGACCAGAAAUAGCAAUUUCUAACCAUAAAUAAAUGUAAGGAGAGAACUUGUGGAAAUGCAGAAUGGUUAGUCUGUUUAACAUUUAAGACAAAGACCCUCUAAUAUCAUUUGAUCAACAAAUGGAAAGCCCAAUAACAGCAUUCGAGACAAUAAUAAGUACUCAGCAACUUACAUUCAAGUAGACUGUCACAUCAAUGUUUAUUAUAUCGCCAUCCUGCAUAGCAUACAAGAACAUUUAGGUAAGUGACCAAAAUUUUCCCAGCGAUGAUGGUAAAUACUAAAGAAACACACAACCUGUAGCUGACGAGAAUCAGGUAUCCCAUGGCACAUACACUCAUUGACCGAUGUGCAUACACUCUUUGGAAAGCCCCCAUACCCUAAAGGUGAAGGAUAAGCACCAGCAUCAACAAUCAUUUGGUGCACCACCUUAUCAAUUUCGUUCGUCGUCACAGAUGGCUAGUUCAUAUAAAAGGGAAAACAAAUUAAUUUGUCCACACAAAAAGGUCCUAAACAUAAGCAAAUCUUGGUACAAAAAUGCAACAUGCAUGUGUACAAUACCAAUCACAUUGAUAAUGUUGAUACAUGAAAGAUAGAAGAAGAAGAAGAAUGUGAUACCCUCUGAUGUAACAAAAAGUGAAAAGAUAAACAAGAUGCCAUGAUCAUAUAAGGAAGGAGCACAAUAUAUAAAAGGAGGAAAAUAAGAGCAAGAAAUGAACCAGUCCCAGUCAAAAGAAGGACAACAGGGGGCCGGGAGGGGGGGGGGAAUUUGCAGUGACCUGAAACAUAUGUUCACCAGUGCAAGUUCUUCAAAAUACUACAAGGCUCCUAAAUGAGAGAGCUGGGAAUCGUCGAAGAUUAACACUCAAUACUAGCAAUCACAAUUAUAUAGUCCCACUGAAAGCCACCCACUCCUUCCUUAGUGACCUACAAGCUUAUACAAAGUUCAUAAGUCCAGGAGCUAUUUGACAAAGACCGCAAUUUCCAUGAUCUUCAAUCUCCUAGAAAACAUGUGAAGCCACUAAUUCAUAAAGAAGUAAAACCGAUAACCUGCAAUUUAUCAUUAAAGAAUGCUUCCAAUUUUCAGUUCAUGUUUCAACUGCUUUUGGACUUAGAUGGAAUUUUACAAAGGAAAAAUAAAGUUUCAGAAUCAGGCAGGUAUAGUAUGUGAAACAAUAGGUUUUGAUUUUAUUGGUGAGUCUGUACGAUGACCACUUAGAGUAAUCAUAAUAAAACUUUUCAUCUGCAUGUAAACUUGAGAAAAGCAAACAAGCGAUUCUUAUGAGAAUGUAGUGCUAAGAAUAAUUAUUAUCUUUGAUGAUGAAUACAUAAAAGUAGAUUCUCACCCUAACCAAUGUUCCUGCAUGAUCUAGGACUUGGGCAGCAAGUUCACAAGCAGCCCUCAUUUUCAAAAUUCCUUCAGCAUCAUGAAUCUGAUAUUCUUUGGAAAUUUCAGGCAGUAUUUUUGUCCCUGCAUAGGGAGGCUUUGGUAUGUGAUCAGGGACAGGGAGCUGUUGUGACACCUUUCCACGCCUCAAAGGCGGCCUUCUUUGUGAAGCUGUUGAAGUCCUAAGCUCACGCUCUCUUUGUGAAUGAUCAAGAAGUAAUUAAAAAUGACAAUUAAACAAUCAGGUACAGAGAAGCAUUACAAAGCAAAAAUCAACAAUCUAUAGAUCUUUAAUCAUUUUCAAUAUUAAAUGUACUCAAACAAACAUGUCGUUCAACAGAUAUAGCAGGUCAGUUCUUAUGAUUAUAUAUCACAUGGUAACUUUCAGGAACCUGAAUAUUCAACAUCCAAUAAUAGAUCCAUGUAGAUUAGAGAAUACCAUUUUUUUGCUCCACCUUUAAGUAGGCGUACAUUGUGAAUGAAGAAAAUUAAGAUACAAAUACAGAUUAUAGAUUUGUGAAAGAAACAGACAUAUAGAGAUGCCAAAAAAGGAGUAAAAAUGCGGCAUACUAUUGUUAGGUCAACAUGCCAAGUUCAAUUUUUUGUCAUGCCAAUUGCUACCUGAAAUAUUUCCACUGCCGCAAAUGCAGUGGAAAUAACUAGAAUCCACUAUAUGAUGCAAAGAAUUAUAUAACAAAAUCUCUCUUUUUUUUCAGUUCCAAUUUCGCGACCAUAGCUAAAGUAAUUGCUACUGUUGAUUUUUUAGGCUACAUUAAAUCACAAAACGGGGGAGGAAAAAAAAAAAAGGACUACCGAUAGAAGCAUAGCAAACGAAAGGUAAGACAAAGUACUUAAUUGAAUAUACUGAAGUAGUAGAUAGCAUUACCUUCUUAUUCUAAUAGCCUCCUCCAAGCCUGAAAUUCUUUUUGAAUAAACAACGAGUCCCUUUCCAAAGCUUGAAGAUUUACCUAAAUUCAACAGAUAAGCCAGAAUCAAGAAAUGCCAAAAAAAAAAGAAGCAUAGUGGUAAUAUAGCACUCACAUUUAAAUAUUCUACAACUUUGAAGCAUAGCCAAAAAAAAAAAAAAAAAAAGGGGAUUGAAAAGAAAUAAGUAACGAAAAUUAUUAACAAAAGGGAUUAAAUAUGCUAGCAGUGCGUAUGGAUGGGUGGAAGUAGCUAGUGAAAAUAUCACAGGAAUGACACAUACCCGGGAAGGUUGAAGGGAAGGAGGCUAGUCGAGGCCCCAUGAAAGAACUAGAGGAAGAAGAGGACGAGGAUGAUAGGGAGCUGAGUUCGCCAUGGAAGCAAGUUGUCGAGAAUUGAAGAGCUGGAACUGCAUGAGAAAUUGAAGUCAGAAAAAAUGCCAUCUCUCAGACACAAAGAAGUUGAGAGGCACGGGGGAGUGGAGAGGAAAUAGCCAAGACUUCGAGAUUAAACUGGUCGCUCCAAAAUUACUUGGGCUUCCAAGCCUUAUGCUUUCAACUUGUUGUCCGAGAAUUAACAGAGCGGGGCGCCCAACUUUGUUACAAGUUGGAUCCAUCUAGAAUUGGACCAAACCAAUUAAUGAUAACUGGUGGCCUUUUUCAAUUUCUUUCGUGUAUUCAUCGAUUACUAUUACGGUUAGACGUACGUCACACAUGUAAAAUUUAAUUUUUAAAUUUAUAUUUGGAUUAGGCAUCAUGCAUUCAACUAUAUACACCAUAGUUUAUAAAAGAUUAAUCCUAUUUCUAUUUCAUUUUUUGCCUUCUCCUUUUGUCUUCUUACAAGCAUUUUUUUUUUUCAAAUUCCACAAACGAGUGUCUAUUGAGGAAAGCAUCUUUUUUUUUUCAUAGUACAUCAAAUUCUCAAUUUAGGAGAAUAAAGGAAUGAUGCUGCAACAUCACUGCCGGAAAUCAAAUUUUUAGCAUGUCAUCUCGAAAAGUUUAACAUUAAUACUGCCACAAAUGCAUCUCCCAAUUUUUUUUUUUUUUGGUAAAAAUAUAUUUUCUGUCUAGACUGUUCUUGGCACUCUUGUCCACGGUACAAGAAUGCAUAAAAUGGAUCUGGCAUAAGCCGGCCUGGCCCAGUAGUUUUUUCUACCGCCCCAAGUUCUUAAUCUGGGCUCUAGUGUCAAUGUUUUGAGAGGGAUGUAUGGUAUGGCCAUGUACUUUUGGGCAACAAUAACUUACACGCGGGCCUCCAAAAGUCGUUCGCAACCUUUUUUCUUUUUCUUCUUUUAUUUCUGGGUGCUGCGGAAGCCACAAAGAUGUAUAUUCCCAAUUUCAUUCAGUUAUCGUGUUUAUUUUUCUUUUUUUUUUAAUAUAUAUAUAAAACAAAAUCAGGCAUGCCCUCAAGGCGUUUACCAGAAUUUUUACAAAUCGUCAGUUUUAUAAGAAAAUAAUUUGUUAUUAUCAAUUGAUCAAACUCCUGUUGAGAGUCAUAAAAUUCUAUGCGUGGCCCAACUUGCGAUUAAAAGUGGAAGAAGGGAAAUCGAUGUUCUUGACAAAGUAUCUGAUAAAUAGAACGUAAUUCCGUAACAAAAAAACAGGGAGGAUUUCAAAUUUUCAAUCAACCAUUUGGGUUUUGCUUGAAUGAUAGCUUGUCAGAUUCAUAUUGUCACUCCACAUUUGUGUUAUCAAUAAUAUUUGUUGCCGGUGGCCUAACAUAAUUCAAGCUUUAUGCAAUUGAUUCAUGAAUCAGAUGCAUACCCAUCAACUAUCAAACAAUAAUGGAACAAUCAUCUCCUAAAACUCCUGUCCCGCAGUUGAUAUCUAAAGUACUGCUUUUGUUGGGUGGUUCGUCUUGAUGGAAGAAAACAAAGAUCUUGAACAGCGAAGCGCCAAAUUAGAAAAGAAAUCGCUUUUUUUUUUCACAAAGAAAUUUUAACAUAUAUAGCAAGUAAUCUACUCAAAUGAUUAAUGAACCAAAAAGAUGUGUACUCUUGUAAGUUUUAUGUAUAAGGUGCUACGUUACAACAUACUGUGACAUAAUAUAGAGCACUUUUCGAGGCAUUAAAUAAAUAGGCAUACAAGGUUUGUGUAUUUUGUGUAAAUACAAAAGUUCAACCUAUCUGAAUAAUUCAUCAGUCCUUUCGUAGUUGUAUCUAGGACUGCAAAUAACUCGAGUUGAGUCGAGUUUUGACUUAAUCGAAUCCAAUAUUAACUCAAUUUUACCAAGUUCGAAUUCGAACUCAAACUCGACGAGCAUUCAAUGUAAAACUCAAAUUUGAUCUCAACAUCAAAUUCAGGCCUAGUUGAUGUUGAAUUCGAGCUUUAAAAAAAAUAUUAAAAAAAUAUUAUUUAAAAAACUGAAUAAAAUAGUCAUUUUUCUUUAAUAAAUAUUAAAGAUAUAUAUGUAAUUUUACUACAUACAUAAAUAUACAUACAUAUAUAUAUAUAUAUAUAUAUAUAUAUAUAGACACACACACAUAUUCGAACUGGUUUGCAAGCUAACAAGCUGAGUUUUUUUUAUGCUUGAUUCAAGUUCGCUAGCUCGACUUGAUUGGCUCAAGUUCGAUUCAAGUUCGAUGUUGCCCGAACUUGAGUUGAGUAUUGACUGAAUAGUUUGUGAGUGGCUUGAAUCGUUCGCAAUCUAGUUGUAUCACAAAUACGUUCUUAAUUAUAGCAUUAAUUAAAAAAAAAAAAAAGAAUUGCAAAUAAUCUUCUAUCCAAAUACACUACACAUAUGAUCUUUAAGAGUUACAAUUUUAUGUAAAUAUUUGAUUAUUUAUUCCGAAACUGACGGAUGUUACUAAAGGUAUUCAAAUACAAUUCCUAAGUAGGAUCAACUUUCGCAGCUAAGCACUGCCAUAAGCAACAGAUUAUGUGGGGCACGAACAUGGGUUUUGGGGAACAGAUAUGGAUUGAUCUUGUGGAAGUUUCGGAGAAAACGCGUGAAAUUAAACAAAGAUUGACUGUAUUAUAAGAAAGGUACAAGCUCGUACUAUGCAUUAGUAUCUUGUGGCAGAAUUUAUAUACUACUAACAAAAACAGGUUUUAAAAGUAUGCAUCUGAUGUUUUGACAUUUUUGGUUCUCCAAACUCAAGGUCAUUAUUCCUCCAACCCCAAAAAAAAAAAAAAAAAAAAAUCCGGGUCAUUAAUGUCUCUCAGAGACAUAUGCAACAUCUUAAAGCAAAUUAAUACCUGGAUUGUUGCCAGCUGUUUAGUUUAUAUGGUGAGAUUUGACGAUAAUAAAUUAUGAUUAAUAGGGUUGAAUAAUUAGGCAUCCUUUGACUAAUAUAGAGUGGUUUGAAAUAGAUUGAUAGGGUUGCAUCUCAGCUCAUUGAUUUUAUAGACGUUGUCAAAUGGCCAUGUAUAAAUCAAACUUACAUGCAGCCAUAAACAAAUAAAGAAAAAAAAUAUAUAUAUCUACAAUUUAAUUUGAUGGGACGUUAAUGAGAAUGAGCAUGUCAAAAAAGAUAAGGCAAAGAAGAGAUUCCAGCUGGGAUUUCUCAGUGCAUGAAUGUGGACUUAAUUAAUUACAGUAGAUUAGUAGUGAGUGUUAUACGUGAGGCUCCAAUUUCAAGUGUAAUUAAUUAAUAAAAGAAAAGAAAAAGAAAAAAGAAGAAGUCUUCACAUAUGCAAAAUUAAGCUGUCAAGAGAAAAUUUUAGAACAAACAAAACAAGAACACCCGCCAAUUAAUAAUAUGUGUGUACCACAACACAUUUCUAAAAACGCGUUUCCAAGAACUUCGCCUGUUCCCUCAAUAUUCUACGUGUGGCAUGUCAAAAAAGAUAAGGCAAUAUGGCAAUAUGGCAUGUGCUGUUACUCCCUAGGCCUCCCUUCUUUCUUUCAUCCUCGAUCAGUCUUCAAAAUUGGCAUGAAGUAGAAACUUCUUCUUCAACAUCUGUACCAGUUUGGGUCCAAUCCCCAACUGGCUAAAUACCAUGUGGAGAGACGAAAAGUCGCAGUCAAUUGCUGUAGAUGGGGUGGGUACCGGUAGAUACAUCAUAGAUGCAGAUGCAGAACUAACUCAUGCAUUCCUAUUAUAUAUUAUACAUAUUUCUUUCUUCUUCACGUAUUGAUAAUAUAUUAUAGGAUGCUUUUCUCUUUUUUUUUUUUUCUCCUUGCAUAAUAUAGCGGUGUAUAAUAAUAUUAUUGUAUGUGUCACGGACGGACGGACUAUCUUAUCACGGAGAUGAAAUGGUCUUAAUGAGACCAGAAUAUGACUUGGUACAGAAUAGGUCCUUUGAUUGAUGAGACGAAGAUCCGAUUUCUUUGGAUGCCAUUCCAUCAACAAAUCAGAGCCCAUGAAGAUAAGUACUGGCACCACCUACUUCUGUGGAUGUUUAGAAGAAGAAUUUAUUUUUGAUCCAGCAAGAUUAAGCCUUCUGUGAUCACAUUUUCCUAUCACCUUUUUCCCUCACAUAUAUCAGAUCGCUACAGUAAUUUUUCCAUGAAAAAUGACGAAAAAUGCAAUCCAAACACAACCUUAGUGAUCAAUUAGCAUUCAAUGCAAUGCGCUCAAUUUACUUUGCUUACAGACUGUGUAUUUUUUUUUCAUUAAUCCAGAUGCUGAGGUUAUUAGCAAUAAAUAUUAAUAUAUGUUUCUAUUCUAACCUCGUCUUCAGCAUUUUUUAUUUUAGACUAAAAAAAAAAACAACAAGAAGAAGAAGAUGAGAUAUCCAUCAAUAAUAAAUAUUUGAGGAUGAGAAAAUUUACUUGAAAUUAAUUUUUUGGCGUCCCCCCUAUACCUAAUUCUCUCCUGGCCAGAAACAUUUCUUGCAAUUUGUACACAGGAAGCUAAAAGAGUACAAUUAUUAUCGUACUUCACCUACACCAGAAAUAUACGAGUACUAGAAAAAAGUUUUAUCUGUUGUCUUUGGACUUUUAGGCCAUAUCCUCCACCGCCAUGACCCACCCCCCUCCUCCUGCCGGAGCUUCUUUAAGCUUUAUCCUAUUCGUCUCUCUCACGUCCAUCUGGACCGCAUGGUAUAGUAAAAAUGCAAAAGAGAUAACAAAGUACUAUGCCAAAAGACCUACCAAAGUAUAGUAAAAAUGCAAGUCACAAAAUUCGCAAGAUAUAAUACUAAAACGCUUCAAAACUUUGAACAAUACUAUCUUCAUUUCGUUUGUAUCUUGGAUUGAUUUGUUCCACCAUGUCACGCACCUAAUUUCAGAUUUCUCCGGUCUCUAAACAGUAGUAAUAUACAAUUGAAACUAUGCAACUUGCAACAACAACACCACCACCCCACUCCCCUUUCCAGUUUCCUCCCCGCCAUUUCUUUCCUAAAAAACAAAAACAAUUACAUGAGAAAGAAAAAAAAAAGAAGGAAGUUACAGAGCACCAAUAGCCCUUGGUUUCUUGCUACACUCCAACCCCAACAACUCCAUUCCCCUCACUCUUUUACCACUGCAACUACUAUUACUAUCCAUUACAACACCGUUAACUGGUAAUGGUACCUUAAAUAUAUUCACCCCAAAUAAUCUAACCAUUUGAACCGGCUGAAUAGGGAUUGAUAUUCCGGCAGCAACCGGAGGAGCGGCCUCGGCCGCUCCAUUCCUCCGUUUCCAGUCAAUGUAAAGCUGCUUAUCAGCUCCGGUUGAUCGCUGAAAGCUGACAAUGUCUCCAGCCUUCAAAUUCUUCUCCUUCACAAACCUACUCCACCCUUUAGUCAGGACAUAGCUCUGACUACUAUUCCAAUAGGAAUAUCGGAAUCGCCAUACCUUUCCACCCAUAUCUUCAAAGUUGAGCAACACGCCUUUGGAAGUAUUCCCGCUUUGCAAAGGGAAAUGCUUUUCGGCAUGCUGCUUUGGUAUGACUAGCCUGUUCAGCUUCCCAACAUCGCUGGGAGUCACCGCCUUUUCGAAGAGUUGUUCACGAGCUUUGGUUGUCUUCUGAUAACCAAACGAGUGUAGACCAGCAAUACCUUUGCAGCCCUUCUUGCCAUUGCCAUCUAAUCCAUAGUUCCUCUUGCUUUGCUCCAGCUCGUCGUUGUAAGUAUGUUUUCGAAGCAUGUCGACAAUUUCAGCCUUGGAAUGGCAGCUCAAGAAAGCAGCUUCGACGUCAUCUUCCUCAGCUUCAUUCAAGGGCUUGAAGUUUGUGACAGCAUCGCGGCCGCGAAAGCGUUGCGCCGCGAUAUCAUAGGCUCUAGCAGCUUCCUCUUCUUCAUUGAAAGUUCCCAGCCAAACCCUCUGAUGCUUUUCGUAAAUCUGCGCACCCCAUCUGCCAUUAGGCUGAGGAACCACCCCUUUGAACCUUGAGGACGGAAGUUUCCGGGAUUCGGCUUCUACGCCGACUUCUGCAUCGAUUAUCAUACUGCUUGCGCCACUCCCAACUCGGCAGAGGCUCUGCUGCUCUGGCGACGACUUGAUAUUCACCGGUAGAGACAUAUUUGACAAUGAUGCUGGUGCUGCUGAUGAUGCAAAAGAGUUGUCACUGGUAGUGCUCUCAUCUAUGCUGCUGUUGUCCAUUUCUUUCUUUAAAGAUUUGAUUUUGGUGUGAAGUUAGAAGAAAAUAUGAAGUUUAAGAGGGGUGUAUGGAAUGGGACGAGAUAUUGAUGCUUUGAGAGAUGAGACAGAAGAGCUACUUGGAGUAUGAAAGUUGUUGUUCGGUGAUGCAAGGUGGAAGUUAUAUAUAUAUAUAUAUAUAGACAUAUAUAGAGGAGUAGCAGCCCAAAGUUUUUGUGUGUGAAAUAUGCACUAGUAGUCGAAUAAAAUAUGCUGAUUAUCAAAUAAACUACUAAAAGCAAAACCAGACUAGUAUUAAGCUCUUACUAUAAGGAAAAUAGUGACAUGGAGGUGUGGUUUUGUGGGUCAACUCCAAGAGAUGGUAAGGAACUAGGAAGAUUCAUGGAUUGAUUCCUGGGGAGGGAGAAGGAAGGUGUGGGGGGAGGAGGGUAGGUGUAGUAGGGGCCAUGGGAGAUAGUUUGAAUAGUAGAAGUAUGUAUAUGUUGUGGGCUAUGUAUGUGAGGUGGGGCAAAGAUAAAUUGAGCAAGUUGAUGGGGUUCACAUGAGUGUGGACCGUGUGGAGAAGCAAGUUCAUCCCCCCUGAUCUUUGCUGCUGCUGCUGCUGACUAUCAAGCAUGGCCUCCCUUUCUGCUUGCUUUUGUUUUGGAACGUUUAUCUGAAUUACACUUGGGAGUAUUAAAGGCAGCGACAAAUAAUAGAGAAGAUUUUGAUGAGGUAGCACUAGCUGGUACUAUCAGCAUCAGAUGAAGAUAAAAGGAAAUUUUAUAGGAAAGAGAAACGUACCAUAUAUUACUAGUCACCAAUGUGUAUAUAACUAGAAUGUGACGACGGUCAAAGGGGCUGGUUUUUGUGUAACAAAGGGCUCCUACUCUUGUUAUUUUCGGUUAAGCAAAAAGAUUUUUCCACAAAAAAGAGCUACACCGCAUCAAAUAUUUUUUAUUGCAAAUAAUCACCUAUCCAAACACAAUCAGGAUCCGUUUGGCGAUACGGUAAUUUAUUGAAAAGUAUUUCAUCUAAUAGAGCUUUUAAUAAAAGCAUUUAUUAAGUAAUUAAGUGCUUCUAAGUAUAUUAUUUGGAGACAUAAUUUAAUAAGCACUUAUUGUAUUGGACAAUCUGUAAUUUUAAACUUUUAAAAUAUAUUUAUUUUUUAUUUAGUUCAUAAUAUAGUAUAAAAUAAUUGAAUUUAAUGUUUUAUUUUGUGGAAUAAAUAAGUUAUUUUCAAAGCACUAAAUUUUAGUUUUUUUCUUUUUUCUAAAAAUGCUUUCAACACUAAAAGUUUCUUCCUCAUUUUGUGUGGAAUGAUACUCACCGAACAUCUCAAAAGUGCUUUUAACUCCUGUAAGUACAUUUUUAUCAAAAGCACCGUGACCCUAAACGAGUCCUCGAUGAAUUUUUGCACUUGCGUGUUCAAUGAAUUUUCCUUUUAUGAAACAAGAUCUCGUGCAUCUAACUACCCAAAUUGUUUGCAGGUAGGAGGAGACUCGAUCUGGUUCCACUAGGAUGGGGAUCAUGGGCCAAUGUUUAUGAGGGAUGGAUAGACUUGAAGACAAAGCUCAUCCAACAAGAAUUUCCCAUAAAACUUACCUGGCUUGAUUUGAUUCGUCCUUUCCAUCUCUGUUUUGUCUUUAUUGGCCAGGUUCAACUGAGUAUCUUCCAGCACAAUAAUAAUUUCACAAUAUCCAAGACACUGAAAAUGUCCAAAGAGAAAUGGGUUUAUGCUUGUUUUCCUUUGAACUAUUAUAUAAUUGAGCUUGUGGUGGCACCCUAGAUAGAUGAAGGAUAUCCCCACAAAUGGCCAAUUUCAAAGAAGUUAUAAAUUUCUUAAUUUUCAUUAAAGAACGUUUUUGUCUGGAAAUAUUAUAUUAAUUAAUGUCCUCCUCCCAUUAUUCAGGUUCUUGAUUACGAUCUGCAUUGUUGAUUCAGAAAGAGUGAUUAGUAAUAUUAGUGGUUGGACAGGAGAAUAUUCGUUCAAUUAUAUUUGCUUACAUCAUCAUUACAAUUUUCAAUACACCUUUUUAUUUUUCCAAUCACUUUUUUAUCUCACAUACAUCACAUCAAAAAAAAUGCUACAGUAAAAAUAUCUCAAAUAAUUUAUAAUCCAAACACACUUGCGGCACCGACUUUAAUGUAUGAGUUAUUCUAUAAGAUAUGUUUGUGUAAGCAUUAUUUGCACAAAAAUUAUUUACUUGCAUCAUAAAUAUAUUUUUUAACAGAUUUUUUUGUCUUAUUAAUAAUUUUUUUUAUUUCAUAUAUAUCAUAUUACAAAAAGUACUUCAGUGAUUACAACAAAAAAGUAUCCACAAUGGAAUAUUAUGCCAUUUGUUAUUCAAGAAGAGAAGAUGCAUUAUGAUUUCCCACAGAAAAAGAGAGAGAGAGAGAGAGAGAGAGAGAGCCAGUAAUUACGAGUAGUAUAUUUUCACAUCACGUCCAUGAUUUGGUUAAACUUAAAACAAAAGUGGUGGAGCUUAUCCUCUUUUGCCUCUUGUUUAGUUAAAUCAACUUUAUCCUCAAGAAGUCAUAUCACUGCGUGUUGUAGCUUUCCAACCUCUUUUUACUGUUAUUCUAGUGAGUUCUCUCAUAUUAUUGGUUUGUUAGUUCCCGAACAACGUAUAUUUUCCAGAGGUUUUUCAAUUUUACUCCAAGUACUAAUAUAUUAACUCUAAUCUUAAAAACAUAGAACUUUGUCUAGAUUGCAAUUUUUUGUAGAAAAGCUUCUAUAUUUUUCGUGAACAUAUUUUUCAAUCAAUUUUUAUUUCAUAUACAUCAAAUCAUUACAGUACGUUUUUUUUUAAAUAAAAAUUCCUAAAAAUAGCAAUCCAUAUUACUAUCCACCAAUCAUUGACAUAUCAUAUACUUCUAUAUUAUACACUAUACACUAUCUACCGUUCCUUGAUAUGCUCUAGAAAUUUUUCAAUAAAUUGGCACGUGUCAUUUCUCAAGACUUUUGAAUAAUUUUAUUCUUUUAAUAAGUAUCCAUUAAUUAAAUUUAAAUUUUAAAAUCCCUACAUAGUACUAGACAUAAAUUUUGAAUGUGUCUAAAAUUUGCAUUAUUCUUAAUCAUUUAUAGUAGUAUUGCUGUGUAAUCGAGAUUAACAUGAAAUGAUAGAUAGAAUAUGGGGUUGAUUUGUACGGAACAAGUCCUUGGUGAUUAGGGUCCACGAACAAGUUGAUUAAAAAACCAGUAGCCAUUAGACGGUGGGCGUAGCCUUUCAACGCCGGGUUUCUAUGAGUUUGUUAUGUCGGUCCCAUUUUAUUUUGAAGAUUCCCCAAGCCUAUUAUUCUCUUUAAGUCUUUUCCACUGUAUUAUAUUUCUUUUAAUAUUCAAAGUUGAAUUUUUUUUCUUUUCUAAUAUGUGGGUAAAGGGUUUACACACACACACACAUAUAUAUAUAUAUAUAUGAUAUAAUAACCAUAGCCAAUUUUUUUUUUCAGUUCAAUAGAAAGUGUUUCAUUUAUAUACACAUUUAUGCGUGACAUCCAAACAGUAGAUUUGUACGUACUUUGUUUGUAUCUCCGUAUCAGGUUAUACGGAAAUGAGAUGUCUCCUUACAGGUGGGAACGUAUCUUAAUAAUUGUAGGGUUUGUCAUGUCAUCAUACGAGAACCCUUCAUGUGCUGAUGAGUGAAUAUCAAAAAGUUGAAUCAUUCUCGGAUGUGUCCAAAUCCCAAACUAAUUUAGAGUUGACCCGUGUUGAGCUUAUCUUUCUCCUCCUAUAUAUGUAUUGUACGUGACUUCCGGAUAGAUAUUAAGAUGGUCUGAAAUUCAAGAAUUGUGCAAAUUAUAACUUGCAGAAGCAGAACUAAAGAGAUUUAUUUUAUGGGCAUGAGUUCUUUUCUUGCUGGUAAUACCUGAUGUGGAUUCCAACAUCUUGUAGCUAGGAACCAGGAAAAUUGGAGUCUUGCAAUCGAAUAGGGCUUAAAGACGGGAUUUUGCAGUGAGCGAGGGGAUAAUUGGACGGUUUGGUACUCCUGUUUUUGUUUUUGGAGUGUUUUAAAGAGAUCAUUAUUAUUUUUUUUCUUUUUUCUAAAACACCAUCUAAAACACUUACAAGUUCUAAAAAGCUACAAAAGAAACAAAAAACACAUCAAAUAGAGUAUUGGUUGCCAGUGAUGGGAGAGAGGAGAAGGGAUUUAAAAAAAAAAAAAAAAAAUUUUGGGGUGAGAAAUAACUAUAGUCAAUCACAGUAAAAUUUUAAACAAAUUCUUGAAAAAAAAAAAAACCAUCCAAGCCGAACUUGAUUAAAAAAUAUUUUGCAUUUUACCCAAUUGUGUUUCUUUUUUGUCUUCUCCACAUGUUGCCUCGCUGGCCAAAUGUUAUCAAGUUCUACAUGAACUUUACACUGUUAACAACACAAAAAGAGAAAAAUGAAGUCAUAUUGGAAUGGAAUGAGGAAAGUGAUGCAGUGGACAACACAUCAUCUGUCUCAGAGAAAAAGAAGAAGUUGAGAUGAUGUCGUCAGUUUCCAAGUUAUAAUUUUCCUUCAUAAUGGGAUAAACACGACUUUGGUCGAUCACAUUAACAUGUACGUUAUUCUCAUGUCGACACAAAAAAACAUGGUCACUAACCUUAAUGAAUCAAAUUACAUGCAAGCGUAAGUUGUAAUUUAAAUCAAAGACAAGAAGAACAGAAAAUAUUUAAAAUCAGGACUCUAUCUUUGCAUGAUAUGAUGUCUCAGAGUUUCUGGCUUCUUUCCGCAAGUGAUUAAGGAUUCUUUACCAUCAGAUUAGCAUGGAUUAUGGCAUCUUAGGAAGCGACAAUUAUUAACUUAAAAAAAAAAGGGGGGGGGGGGAUCAGAUGAUUCAUUAACCUUAUCAAAACGCAGUACCCUUUGUUCCCUGUCUCUUUCAUUUUCUCACACACGCAUGCAUGCAUGUGGACGUGAAUGCUACACAGGUUAUGUUAUGCUCCAAAAACAUUGCACUUGCAAUCAUGCAUAGUGAAAGAUCGGUCCAAAAAAUAUAAAGACAUACAUAUAUAUAUAUAUCUUGAAUCUUUUUGGAUGGUUAAUCACAGGCUUAAAAGAAUAUAUAAUACUACGUACUGGUUCAUUUAGUAUCAAGUCCCCAAUUAAGUACUUCAGUCAAUAUAUAAUAUUACCUGUGUAAAUUGUUGGAGACAACUCUCUCAGCUGGACUGGAGACGGUGAUGAAAAUCAAUAAUUGCGGCCUGUUCUGUUAUUUAUGCUUUCUGUACAAAUGAAGGGGAUGGAAUUGACCAUGUGAUUCCCGAUUCAUUUAAUUAUAUGAUUAAAGGGAUAACGCUAUGAGAUUGAGUAGAAGAAUUUUGUUGCAAUCCUUCUGGAGAUCACCUUUUCCACACAAUUGAGAUCAGAUAAUGUGGCGUAGACUAACUGAGUGGUAGGGUCUCAGUUGUUAUCUCCCUCAAUUACUGAGUUCGUAAACACGUCAGAAUCGAGCUAGUGAGUGGGACAUUAAUUAGAAGAAAAAUCCCAUUCUAGCUCUUGAGAACUUUUUGUACCAUUCUCUUUUUCACUUUCUCCAAUAUUUAAUCUGCAGAAUAAUCCGAACAAAUAUUCUAUGUUAUCUGCUGUUUUGGUACCAUCUGUUGUUUGAUGAUCCCUAGCUUUACGAAGAAGUUCUGUUGGUUGGUCUAAAACUUUGUUAACAGCUUGAUUUAACGGGGCCGGGGAUUAUCUCUUGCUAAUUUGGAGCAACACUCUUCAACAUGAUUUUUCGGAAUAAAUAUUCGAAUAUCCGCAUUUUGCAAGAUCAUGAGUAUUAAUUUCCAUUUAAAUGACUAGACCCAUACACAAAAAGCAAUAUUUAGGCUCUGAACUUCUUCUUGUCCAAGUGAAGCAUUAGAUUUUUUUUUUUUUUUAGGUAAUUAAUAAAACAAAGAACUUUGGUAAUGAUGAAAUUGCUGGAUAUAUAUCAUCGAGCACGACUUGUUUGACAAAAUUUGGAGCGAUUUGUUUGAAAAAACUUGUCAAGUUUCAGAAAGGUACGUACGUUGUCCAAGUGAAGCAUUAGUUGAUCUAUAUUACCAACAAAGUGUGCUCAUCAAAUUCUACAUCCGAUAAACUUGGGAUUAACCUUUAUUUGUCUUUUCCACUACAUACUUAAUUAGGUGCCUUUUCCUCUUGUCAUCAUCAUGAAAACACUUUGCAGUGAGAUUUCCCUAUUCCUCCUCCAUAUGGCGUAAUGGAUCAUCCAUUAAUCAUAUUUAUCUCUUGAGGAGUCUACCACGUACGUUAAUCCAAUUUUUAAUUAAUUUGCAUUAGUUUAGUUCUCCCUUUCAUCUCCCUUAAGCUUAUCCAACAGUACGAUAUGCUGCUUAAUUUAUUUAUUGAUCAGAAAUCUCAACUCUCAACCAAUAAAGUUUGGUCGAUCUGCAUAAAUCAUUCUCCUGAGGCAUGGAAUUCUAAAUACAUGAUUGUGUAAAGGAUCGAUUGUUUAUUUUUAACACAGACUUUUCCCCUUUUUGGGCUACAUCUGUUCUUGUUAUGAAUAAUAAAAGAUUUCUUGUGCAAAGUUCUUCGAUCUCUUAAAAGCAGCCGUCGCAUUUCGGAAGAGUUUGAUUCUGUUCUUUGAGGCUGCAGUUGCAAUGCUGACCAAAAGAACCCUUUUCUUUAGAUGCCAUGCCAUCAUCAUGGUAGCUGAGUAGGUGCCUCUAGUGUUAGAUCAAAAGCCAAAAAUGCCCCAAUUGAUUAAUAAUAUCUGGUGCUUUUUCAUCAGCUGUAAUCUUCAGUAAUUAUCUCGAAUUGGACUGUGAUUAAAAAAGUACACGAGCACUUUCCAACUCCCUAAGUUUUUCUUUUUUUAUUUUCUCGAACGGACAUGACAUAAUACAUGGAUGACUCAAAACCAUCAAAGCGAAAACCAAAAAUCACAGCCACCGACGUUACGUAUGUUUCAAUUAAAUAGGUUUUUUGUUGCCAUGUCAUGGCUAAAGUAAAAUUUGCCACUGGCCGACGGUGACGAAAUUGAUAACUGGGAAUCUUUUGAUUUGGAAGUUUAGGCAAUUAAAAAAAUGGAUUGUUGUACGAAUUCUCUAAUACCCUACGUGUUGUUAUCAAUUAUCCUAACCGAAAGUUGUUAACGUGACAAAGAAUGCAUGAUAAUACUACUUUAAUUACUAAAUCGUGGAUUUAGCUUUAUGCACAUGAUGUUUAAGUAGAUGACAGAGAAUUUGACAGCACAGCUUUUGAUCUUUGUGACAUCACAAUUGUUCAUGUUGAUAAGUAUUUUAAGGAACGAUGAUGAUAGAAACAAAUUUGCGCUUACGUGCUUUAAUUUCAACUGAAGCAUGUCCGAAAAUAUCAUCUUUUUUUGUAUAUAUUUAAAAAAAAAACAAAUUUCAUUAACCAAUUGUUAGAAAUCGUUUACCGCGAUUUGAUUUACAUCGCUACUCUAAACAAGCGCUAGAAAUAAUAGAUCAGAACUGCAAAGAAAAAAAGCAAAGAGAAAUUCAGUGCGUUCGAAAAACUAUAUCAUACAACUUCAAGCUUCUUAAAAGUAGCUUAAAGUAGUGGGAAAAGUAAAUAAUCCAUACAAGUAUAUAUUAGUCUUGUAUUUACUCUGGACUAAAUUAGCCUAUCUCGUAAGCAAUCAUCAAUAUCCAAACUAAAGCAAUUCCGGUAGAUAGGUUUUCUAAGACAAUCAAUUGAAAGCGCCUAAUUACUUGGUUUAAAUUGAAGUUUCUCAGAAGUAAGAGCGUAUUAUUGAUUGCUAACACACUAGAAUAUAUUAGUACGCAAAAUUGAUAAACUACGACAGAAUUACCUUGCAGUGUUUUGAGUGAAUAUACUACUUUCUCUUGAACAGGAGUAGUACAAUGUUUGGUCAUUAAUCAAUUGUUUGUCCGUCUGUUUUGGAAAAUUGUUAGCCUUUGUUUAAUGAGAAACAGGUAAAUUAAUUCCUACAUGAUAGCCUGUGGUUUCUAAGGAAUGAUAUUGUAGAAUAAAGAAAAGGAAAUAAUGGUUACGUAACUAUAUAAAUAUAUAUAUAUAUAUAUAUAUAUAUAUAUAUAUAUAUAUAUAUAUAUAUAUAUAUAUAUAUUAUCUCAUUCUAAAUCUAAAAUCUAGUAUAAGAUGUGUCAUAUUUUUCAGGAAAUUAAUUGGAUAUUACGUACUUUACCCACUGGAAUGCACGUACAGUAUGGGAAGAACUACUAGUCUAAUGACUCUAACCAUUGCAUGAGUAGUCAACUAAAAAAAUAUCUUUUUGUUUAUGUAGAAAAAUGGAUGCAAGAUUAUUCACGAGUUUAUAAUAUUAAGAUCACAAAAGAAGACAGAAAUAUCUUCUUGUUUUCAAUAUGCCCCUAGUUACCAUCUUUUGUUGGUAACGUGUUCGAGCUUAAGAUAAACUUUAGGUCCAAGAAUUUAUGCCAAACCCAUGAUUGCUAUAAGAUGGUUUUUCAUUUCCCUAACAAAAAUAAAUAACUGCUAUCAACAACAAAGAUAUAAAAGGAAAAUAGGAUUUUUCUACCGACUGGUUACUCUCUUCGGUACGUCUAACUUACACCGAACUUAUUAUAUGAAUGUGCACACUUAUAUUUAUUACGACCCUGUAUUUAUAUUUAGAUACUUUUCCAAAUUAAUAACAUUCUUGCCAUAAAAAAAAUGACACACACUCCCUCUUAAAGGGUGCUAGCCGAGCACCCCAAAGCAAAAAAAGAAAAAAGAAAGAACACAAAAUACACACUUUUAUCUUUCCAUAAUCCAGAGAUCAUCAUCUCCUGAAAAUAUCACAAUCCUAUCGACCUUUUUCAUUGUUAAUUAAUGGUCUAAUCCAAAUUCAAAAGCGACUCAUUUAAAAAUUGUUGGUUGCCAGUUACCACGUCAACAACACGCAUUACUGUUUUUUUCAAUAUAUUCCAACUGGAUCUCCCCCGUUCACACGCAAGUCGCAAAACACACUUCCUAUAUUUUUUAUUGGAAACAUAAAAAAGAUUAUUAUGCUAAUAAUAAGCAAUUCAUCAUUUUAUAACAAAUACUACUACUAAUUGUAAUUAAUUACUGGACUAAACAAAUUAAGAUAGAUGGCUAUAUAUGGAAAUCUUUGACUGCUGCUUGAUUUUCUUCUACCGACGCGGACAAAGACCCAGCUUUUCGGGUCAACCCACGUGAUCUAACCAGUUUAGGACGUUGAUUAGCGCGCAGUUAACCUCUUAAUCAUCUUCGAGAUCUUUGUUGAUAAAUGAACCAGCUAAAAUUAUAAGUAAUACUUACUCGUGCAAACUUAAAAUUACAAUUGGGGUUUCAAAUUACUAAUAAUUAAAACAGCGUUUGGAUUGCCAUUUUUUCUCCCGAAAUUUUUUUGACCUUUCUCAUAAAUAUAUUUUUUAAUUGAUCUCGCAUAUAUCAAAUUAUUACAGUAUGUUUUUCUAUAAAAAUUUUAGAAUAUAGUAAUUCAAACGGACUCUCCUACCAUUUGUUAUUAGGAGAAUAAAACAGCAUAGUUACGCUAGUGGUACUCUUGAAGCCACUUGCUUAGUUGCUUGCAGCCGUGGAUUAAUGGCUGGGCGAAAGUUUAACAAAAAAAAAGCCACGUGAAUUAGACGUGGCAAUUAAGGGAAAAGUGAAAAACACUCACAUGGCAGAACCUGUUGAAAUGAAAGAUCAUUGGUUUUGAUGACUUGAUCAUUAUCCUAAUUCCACUUGUCAUCUGUUAAUGAUAACUCAAAUAACUAAAAUGAAAGUAACCAUCUCUCCUUUUCCACCAUUUAAAAGCCACCGAUGAGCCGCAGUCUUCUGGAUUCAAAUCAAGAGCUAAAAUGGUUUAGAUUUACCUUUCACUUUAAUUUCUUUUUCCUGCAAAUCGAAUUCUCAUACACAUAUAGAUUUGCAGGGAUGCCUUUGUGCUGUAUUAACCAUCUCAACAAAUUAAAUUUGUUUUUCAAAAUUAAGGCGCAGGGAACCACAAAUGCAGGAUUCAAAAGUGUUAUGCAUUGCAGUUCAAGAAUGAUUGGAACGUCAAACGGGAUAAGCACGCGGAGACCAUCAUAUUAAAAAAAAAAAAUUUUUUUUUUUAUCAUAUAUGCAACCAAGAAAUGUACAGCCAGCCCACCACAAGAAUUUGGUCAAAAUCAGCAUUAUUUUUUCUUAUUAUAAAAAACAUACAUUUGUGGUAGUUGUUCUUGUUGUUGCUAUACAAUCAAAAGUCCGAGUUCUCGCAAGAGAAAAAAUCACACUAGACGUAAAGUCCUUCACAGCCAGUCUCAAAGAUUUGCCUAACAGAUGUAUUAUAUUUGUAAAAUUCCACGCAAAAUCAUGUAGUUUACUUUCUUGUGCAACAGAGCCCACAAAGCAACUUGGCUGCUGCUGCUGCAAUUCCGUAUUUCCAAGUGGGGUUUUGGGGCUUUGCACAUUUCCUCCCUCCCGUGUGUUGCAAGUUGUUUUUGUUGACUCAAAGUACUAUAAAUAAAUAGCCAUUAUGUUGGGACCACGACCACCCUGUUUACCACAUAACUGCUCCUAUUGGCUGAGAAGUUGCCUCACAAUAUCCUUAACAUUUCUACUUAUUUUUCCAGCAAUCAAUCGUCAAUUAUGUAUGUUUUCUGGUUUUGUCAUUUCUGUGCUGGGAAGAUGUUGAUGUAUGUUCUUAUCUGCCUAACUUUUCAUUUCUACCAUCAAUUAUAUGCAAGUGGUCUAAUUUUACGUGUAUUAUUUGAUUAAGUAAAUUUCAACUCAUCACUUAUUAAUUUCUCCAUUGGACAUCAUAUCAUAAUAAUCCUCGCACAACGCGUGUAUGUGAAUUUUCUUUUCUUUUCUUUUCUUUUCUUUUCUUUUCUUUCUCUCUUUUGGAAGUUUCUCUAGGGUGCAUUACCUAAAAUGGUACGCUUCAUCGAAAACAGAAUUAGAAAAGGUAGAUUUACGAAUCCACCACCUUGUUGAAAUGUCUAGGGCUGCUUUCACAUGCAGUUUCUGAGCAAGAUUACCCAGUGAUGGCUAUGAACUUUCUCAAACUUUCCUCUGGUUUUCUGCAAGAUUACCAAGGGGUUUUCCAUGGUUUAUCGCCCGAAUGUAGAUUGCGAAAAGGAACAAAAAGACUCUUUGCUUGUUUUCUUUGCAGAACCUAGACUCGUAAGCAUUCCAUUUGGAAUCAUCAACAUGGACCAGAGGCAGAUGCCGCGUUCUGUGACACAUUCUGUGGUGCCAAUAAAAUUACCAUUAUUUUCUCAAAAUACGAAAAAGAAAAUCAGAACAGAUGUUAACUCUUAGCUGAUUAUAAAAACCUUCACCAUGUAAUAUGUAAUCACUCACAUGUACAAAAUCAAGAUGAUAGUGGAAUCUGUCCAACUGUAAAAAGGGUCCACUUACCCCUGCGUUUUUCAAAUAAAAAUGAGGUUGGGGCAAUGGGACAGUAGAUAUACUUGUUGCUGCUGGUUAUGAGUUGUACAAUUAUGAUUUGGGGAGAAAGGGUUGAAGGGGGAGGUCUCUUCUGCCGACAUGGCACGCAUAUACUUAAAUGCCCUAAAGUCAAAUCCGUUUAUGCAACUUGGGUAUGCUGUAGUUGGCUAAGCAAAGCAAGUUGAUGCCAUUUUUUUUUUUCGUUUUCUUCUGUUGCAGAUAAACACUACUCUGAUCUUCUCCCUUUGCCUUUGCCCUCAGGGCAGUCCACUUCUAGACCAUAUGGACAUAGUUACCGCCACUAGCUAAGUUGAUAUCACUGAUGAUGACUUUUUCAGUGAAGUCUCAUUUAACUUUCUUGUAGUAGCAGUAGUAUUUGCAGGUGCUGUAGUUCAGUUCAGUGCAUGCAAGAAUGUUGGAAUAAAAAGAUGGGAACCAAAAAAAUUCCCAAGCUUUGUGUUGAUUUUCUUACCGUUGAACAAAGAAUGUAUUUGAGAUUUUCUUUUUUUUUUUUUAACUUACUUCCACGAACUUCCUAGCAAACACACCACUAUGUGAAAAAAUGACAAAAGUGGAGGCAACCAAGAACAUGGAAGACUUGGCUUUUGCAUGUAACGAGGUCAACAAAGUCAAGAAAAAAAUGCAAAAUAAAAUAUGUAUAUUUGCUCUGAUUGGCCACAGAAGUGGACUUCUUCUUAGCCCUUGACGCGGUAACGGUGCCCAUCAUCACUUGUUUUUGAAACUAAGAGCGUCUUUCUUUGUGCAAGUCGUUGUUCAAUACAGGUAAUAAAUAGGACAUGUACACUGGGGCAGAAUAAUUUCUUGGAGCCUGUCUCCCUCAAUUUGCCAUGGAGCAAGGAGGUCAACUAGUUGAAUUUGCAGCAAGAGACCUGAAAUUAAAUAAACAAACAAGCAGAUCUGGAAUUGAUUGUCAUGUGAGCAGAUUCUAGUGGUUAUUUCCUGUUGAAUUUUUUGUACACAAGUUGACACAUUGUCACACGCUAUCGUACACAAAUAUGGGGGUGUGUGUGUAUAUAUAUAUAAUUCGUAAGUACAAAUUUACACACAAAUGUAUGUGUUAUAGUAGUUUGUACGUAGCUGCUUGCUUUUCAACAUGAACCUUUUUUGGUCCUACAUUUUACCAUCACACAAUAUGUUAAAGAGUAUUUUGUGGCAAUAUUUGAGGAAACUGUCGUUGCACUUUUCUGAAUUUUUUGUAGAAAAAUUACUGAAGCAGUUUGACAUACGCGAGAUAAAAAGGUAAUUGGAAAAUAUAUUUAUGAGAAUCGUAGCAAUUUGCUCAAAAAGGAAGGAUGAUUCCUUUGGUUAAAAUUUCAUUACACAAUAUGGAGGAAAAUUUGACUUGUAAUUAGAGUGUAGUGAUUUUUUUUUUUUUUUUUGUCUGGUCUACCUUAACCAACAAAAAUGUCUUAGUAAACUCGUUGAAAAAUAAAAAGAAAGAAAACUCAGCUUGUGUUUCAUUAGUACGUAAUUUCUAAGAACUAGAGAGAGAGAGAGGGGUUGGUGAAAUUCCCCGAUUUUUGUUCGGCCGCAAAAGCAACAGGAAAUAAAGGAAAAGUAAAAGAAAAGUUUGACGAUGUCAAGAAAGCAAAAGCCAUGCUUGGGUAAUUAGGCCCGUAUAUAUAUAUAUAUAUAUAUAUAUAUAUAUAUAUAUAUAAUAUAGGAUUUGCUCAUGUAAGAGUAACAAAUUAUGUUGUGGUAAUCUGAACGACUACGUGGCUCCGCUCAAUCUUCACACUUCAUAAUAAACUACAAUAUCACUUCCUUAACAAAUAUUUCAUCCCUUUUUUUAUAACUGACGUUUAAGGUUUUACACACCAAUUAAGAAAAGUUUUUCAUUGUUUAAAUUUAUACACUACUUUCCUUUUAUACCAUCAUUAAUUAUCUAAUUCACCCAUAUUUUCUCUCACUAGAAUAUUAAAUGGUGUUGUUUUAUUAGGCCAAAAGCAAUGCAAAUUAACUCUCACCAAUUAUGAAAAGAGAGAUAAAAGGGUAAAAUUGUGAAAAAAUAAUUAAUACUGCAUGGGGAUAAUAAAACGACAGAUAAAAGUAUUUAAGAGCAAAUUUCUUAAACGUCAGUUAUAAAAAAAGGGAGGGAGUAGAUUACAACAUAAACACUCUUUCUUUUCUUUCUUUUUUUUUUUUUUUUGAAGAAAAAAAGGUUGUAUUUCAACGUUAACAUCUGAUAGUACUCUUGCAUUAAAAUUAGAAAAAAAAAAAAAAGGAAGAAAGUUGGCAAGUUGGAUUUCUAGUGGGCUAUAUACAUGUUUUAUGUGCAUGGUGGAGUCAAAACUCGAAGUUAAGUAAUGAAUGUGACCAGAGUCGUGGAAUUAUCAUAUGGAGCCAUAGUUGGGUUGAGUCUUAAUCCGUGAAACAGUGUAGUGUAGUGUUCUCUCAUCUUAAUCCUAUCUAAACUGUCCUCUCUCCAACGACCAAGUCUUCUUCUUUGAAUGAAUGAAAGAAAGAAAGGUGCAUAUGAGAAAGAAGACAAACUGAGGCAAUGGGUUGAGACCUGAAAGUUACUCAACAAGUGACAAAAACAUCUUGGCCUUCCAAUGUUCAUCGAUCUUGAAAUUUUUCCAACCCACAUCACAUUUACACCUAAAUCAUCAUUAAUUAUAAUGGGUCACCAAUUAAAAAGGCAACAAUUGAGAGAGAUCAAGCGAACCGUUUCUGCCCCAUAUAUCUGAAGUUCAUGAGAAAUGGUCCUGAAUCAUUACGCGCGACUCGACUGAAGAACCCGCAGGUAAAAAAAAAAAAAAAAAAAAAUCAUCAUUAGGAUCUUUGUAUCAUUGCAUGUGGAACUAGUAGUAGUGUUUUAGCAUUGGUACGUAACUUCGGAUCUAAAUCUGUCCAUAUCGAUCGACAUAUAUUCCAAUUCAUCUAAGCCGAAGAGUAGUAGCUGUUUUAUUCCAAGUCUUUACGAUGCGCUUUGUCUUGUCUGCAAAGUUCUUGUAUGGUUUUUGACAUUUCAGCAAUAUCAAAUGUGAAACCAGACUGAUUCCAAACGUUCGGUCGGUCUGGUUAGGCAGAGUUGAUUCCAAACAUUGGCAUGCAAUUUAACUAAUAAGACUUUUACUUUGUAAGCUACAACAAUUCUCUUCCUUUCAUUACAAGUACUACUGUUAGGUUUCUAAAUAUUCCUCAUUUUACUGACUUUGUAAGCUUCUGACUCCGCUUCACCGUCGAGCUUUUGCAAUGUUACUCAAAUUUUCUAUUCUUCAUCUGAAUUUUAGGGGGAAAUUGGUUUCUGAAUUUUGUGAUAGAGAAGAUGGAUUCUCACGCUAAGAAGCUCUACGUGAUCUUCUUUCCCACGUUUCAAUGGAAACGAUGCAAAGCAAAGUUAUGGCACCUUUUACUUUCUUCUCGAUCCAUUGGAAAUUAAUUUCCCUAAAUUUAAGAAUUUCCUUCUUUGAAGUUCAAGUCAAUGAAAUGUGGCAGAAAUGGUUGUCAAAUUUCACUAGGGCCCUCCAUACAAGGGUUGAUGAAGACGACAUAGAGUGAAGAUAUAUAUAUAUGUCCAAGCAUCACAGUUUCCUUCAUUUCCCUUGCCAUUCGUGUAUGGUGGCACCCGAAUAUGCCAUAGCUUUGUGGUCCAAAUACAACUCAAAUCUGGCAACACCGGGAUGUGAAGGAGAGUACCUAGUCACUGUUGGCUGUGUUCUUAUUGGCUUCUGAGCUGAAAAUCAAUUUGUUUGAUGAGUUGUCAAUUUUUCGUGAACCACAAAAAAAAAAAAAAAAAAAAACUAAUAAAUUGCUAUAUAUAUACUCGUGAGUCAAGAAGCAUAGAGACAAAACCAGGGUGAAUUAUUGGACAAAAUUGGAGCCUGUCAUCAGAGAAAUGCAUCAAGCCUGCAGUAAAUGUUGUAGCCCACAACGACGAUGUACACAUUGAGGGAGGGACCAGAUGAGGCAAAUAAUGCAGCAAAUGGGGUGAUGGGACCGCCAAGAAAAGAAUAAAAUGGUUUUUUUUUUAUCUACAGUCUGAAUUCACGUAAUAUAUUUCUUCAAAUGCCGAAAAUUGGGUAUAAUACAUCGGGGGCAUUUGCUCGAUCUCACUCGCUGUCCGUCUUCUUCUUCUUUUAUCUAUGUUCUCUCUUUUAGGGGGCUUUGAUCAGAUGAAUAAAUGAAGAUACGUUGCACUCUACAAAACCAUGUGGUUUUCCAGGACCCCAUUU